rnacentral:rRNA from 1 species
GCAGCAGGCGCGCAAAUUACCCACUCCCAGCUCGGGGAGGUAGUGACGAAAAAUAACGAUACGGGACUCAUCCGAGGCCCCGUAAUCGGAAUGAGUACACUUUAAAUCCUUUAACGAGGAUCAAUUGGAGGGCAAGUCUGGUGCCAGCAGCCGCGGUAAUUCCAGCUCCAAUAGCGUAUAUUAAAGUUGUUGCGGUUAAAAAGCUCGUAGUCGAAUUUGUGUCUCGCGCCGUCCGGUUCAUCGUUCGCGGUGUCAACUGGCGUGUCGCGAGACGUAUUGCCGGCGGGUCGUUCGCAAGAGCGACCCAAUUGACCCCGCCGCGGUGCUCUUCACUGAGUGUCGAGGUGGGCCGGCACGUUUACUUUGAACAAACUAAGGUGCUUAAAGCAGGCUGAAAUUUUGCCAGAAUAUUUUAUGCAUGGAAUAAUGAAACAGGACCUCGAUUCUAUUUUGUUGGUUUUCGGAACCUCGAGGUAAUGAUUAACAGGAACGGAUGGGGGCAUUCGUAUUGCGACGUUAGAGGUGAAAUUCUUGGAUCGUCGCAAGACGGACAGAAGCGAAAGCAUUUGCCAAAAACGUUUUCAUUGAUCAAGAACGAAAGUUAGAGGUUCGAAGGCGAUCAGAUACCGCCCUAGUUCUAACCAUAAACUAUGCCAGCUAGCGAUCCGCCGACGUUCCUCCGAUGACUCGGCGGGCAGCUUCCGGGAAACCAAAGCUUUUGGGUUCCGGGGGAAGUAUGGUUGCAAAGCUGAAACUUAAAGGAAUUGACGGAAGGGCACCACCAGGAGUGGAGCCUGCGGCUUAAUUUGACUCAACACGGGAAACCUCACCAGGCCCGGACACCGGAAGGAUUGACAGAUUGAGAGCUCUUUCUUGAUUCGGUGGGUGGUGGUGCAUGGCCGU